rnacentral:rRNA from 1 species
UGCAAGUCGAGCGGUAGAGAGAAGCUUGCUUCUCUUGAGAGCGGCGGACGGGUGAGUAAUGCCUAGGAAUCUGCCUGGUAGUGGGGGAUAACGUUCGGAAACGGACGCUAAUACCGCAUACGUCCUACGGGAGAAAGCAGGGGACCUUCGGGCCUUGCGCUAUCAGAUGAGCCUAGGUCGGAUUAGCUAGUUGGUGAGGUAAUGGCUCACCAAGGCGACGAUCCGUAACUGGUCUGAGAGGAUGAUCAGUCACACUGGAACUGAGACACGGUCCAGACUCCUACGGGAGGCAGCAGUGGGGAAUAUUGGACAAUGGGCGAAAGCCUGAUCCAGCCAUGCCGCGUGUGUGAAGAAGGUCUUCGGAUUGUAAAGCACUUUAAGUUGGGAGGAAGGGUUGUAGAUUAAUACUCUGCAAUUUUGACGUUACCGACAGAAUAAGCACCGGCUAACUCUGUGCCAGCAGCCGCGGUAAUACAGAGGGUGCAAGCGUUAAUCGGAAUUACUGGGCGUAAAGCGCGCGUACGUGGUUUGUUAAGUUGGAUGUGAAAUCCCCGGGCUCAACCUGGGAACUGCAUUCAAACUGACUGACUAGGUAUGGUAGAGGGUGGUGGAAUUUCCUGUGUAUCGGUGAAAUGCGUAGAUAUAGGAAGGAACACCAGUGGCGAAGGCGACCACCUGGACUACUACUGACACUGAGGUGCGAAAGCGUGGGGAGCGAACAGGAUUAGAUACCCUGGUAGUCCACGCCGUAAACGAUGUCGACUAGCCGUUGGAAGCCUUGAGCUUUUAGUGGCGCAGCUAACGCAUUACUUUGACCGCCUGGUGAGUACGGCCGCUAGGUUAAUACUCACAUGAAUUGACAGUGGCCCGCACUAGCGGUGGAGCAUGUGGUUUAAUUCGAAGUGACGCUGACAGGCUUACCAGGGCGUGAUCUC